UACGGGGGGGGCAAGCGUUGUUCGGAAUUACUGGGCGUAAAGGGCUCGUAGGCGGCCAACUAAGUCAUACGUGAAAUCCCUCGGCUUAACCGGGGAACUGCGUCUGAUACUGGAUGGCUUGAGAUUGGGAGAGGGAUGCGGAAUUCCAGGUGUAGCGGUGAAAUGCGUAGAUAUCUGGAGGAACACCGGUGGCGAAGGCAGCACUCUGGGACGUGACUGACGCUGAGACGCGAAAGCGUGGGGAGCGAACAGG
rnacentral:rRNA from 1 species